GCACAAAGGCUAACCCAGUAGCACAACAGUUAACCCAGUAGCACAAAGGCUAACCCAGUAGCACAUCAGUUAACCCAGUAGCACAAAGGCUAACCCAGUAGCACAACAGUUAACCCAGUAGCACAAAGGCUAACCCAGUAGCACAACAGUUAACCCAGUAGCACAAAGGUUAACCCAGUAGCACAAAGGCUAACCCAGUAGCACAACGACUAACCCAGUAGCACAAAGGCUAACCCAGUAGCACAACGACUAACCCAGUAGCACAAAGGCUAACUUAGUAGCGCAAAGGCUAACCCAGUAGCACAACGACUAACCCAGUAGCACAACAGUUAACCCAGUAGCACAAAGGAUAACCAGUAGCACAUCAGUUAACCCAGUAGCACAAAGGCUAACCCAGUAGCACAACAGUUAACCCAGUAGCACAACGACUAACCCAGUAGCACAACAGUUAACCCAGUAGCACAACAGUUAACCCAGUAGCACAAAGGCUAACCCGGUAGCACAUCAGUUAACCCAGUAGCACAACAGUUAACCCGGUAGCACAACGACUAACCCAGUAGCACAACAGUUAACCCAGUAGCACAACGACUAACCCAGUAGCACAACAGUUAACCCAGUAGCACAACGACUAACCCAGUAGCACAACAGUUAACCCAGUAGCACAAAGGCUAACCCGGUAGCACAAAGCCUAACCCAGUAGCGCGUAUGAUAACCCAGUAGCACAUCAGUUAACCCAGUAGCACAUGGGCUAACCCAGUAGCGCGUAUGAUAACCCAGUAGCACAGCGAAUAACCCAGUAGCACAUUGUUUACAACAACAAGCUCCUGUGUCAACAAGGCCUCUCACGUUUGGAAAAAAACACAGUAGAAAAAGUCUCUAACUGACACUU
ensembl:lncRNA